ensembl:lncRNA
CACGGGGAGCUGCUGCUGCAUUCACUGUGCUCGUGAGCACAGCAGACAGUCAGGUAGUAGUAAAAUAAGCUGUUCCUUCAAAGUGUACUAGAACCUGACAGCUUACAGCCUGCCAAACGUUUUAAGGACAUGGCUUCUCAUUAGCACAAACUGAGAGUUCCCGUCCCAGCAGCGCUGAGCAGAAAGCUGGUGGAGUUAGAACUUAGGUGUGUGCUGCAUUGCCACGCAGAUGGACAUCCCUGCCUCCAGGAUGGGAAGAGCUCCUUGCAAGCAACAUUUAUGUGACCAGCUGUAUUUCAACAAUAAAUGGGUGCAGCUCUUUCAGUGUGCGAUCCAGGUUUGGUGUCCCAGGAACAGCUGCAGAAAUCCUGCCUUGUAUGGGGAGCAUGGCUGGCUGAUCUGCUGAAUUGCUGCUGUGAUUAUAAUUACAUCAGCUGUCUGGCAGCCUCAGCAAAGGGUCCUCCAGCAUACAGACUACAGGCUGUUAAGGAAAGGAAAAGAAAAAACCAAAGCAACAGCCUUUUCUCUUACAUUCGGAUAUCUUUAGGGAUAUAAGGAACCUCCAUCAGUGGCCAACCACGUAAUGAAGCUGCCACAUCUCUAUGGGCUGUGGCCAGUAUUGCUCCUGGAGUGGACCAGAGCUGCUUCUUAGAUGUUAUUCCUGUUUUCAGCAUCCAGGAGAGGACAGUGCUGGAAUGAAGCUUGUUUUGCCAGGGGAGGUGCAGAAUGAAUAUUAGGAAACAUUUCUUCUCAGAAGGAGUGGUGCUGCAGUGUUCACAGACUGCCCAGGGAGUGGUGGGGUCACCAUCCUUGGAGGUGUCCAAGAACCAUGGAGAUGUGGCACUGAGACAGAUGUAACUGAGAAAACAACAGUGACACUCCAGCAUCCCCUGUGCUCUGGUGCCCACGACCUGCAGUCAGCAUUGUAGGGUCCUGGGGAGGGCUCUGGGUGAGAACCCCUAUGUGCCUACCGCAUGGAUGCCAAAGGACAGGAUGCCACCCAAUGGCCAGAGAUGACCCAGGUGGAAAACCUCGGUCCUAAGGCACAUCCCUGUGGUGUGAGUGUCCCAGGUACGCUGGGAGCUUUCUCCCUGUGAGCCCACACGUCCCACAGCCUCUUCUGUUCUCCUCUCAGAAUGUGGUUUUUCAGGUCUUCAGUGCUAGUUUUGGUUGCUGGACCACAGACUAAGCUUUACCUCUGGUUUCUGGAAUCAGCCUUUCAUCCAGUAAGUAAGAAGAAUGACCCACAAAUGGACCGCCGUGUUUUGUUCUGCUCUCAAACUGAGCAGCAGGAACUCCUCUGGAUUCUGACCCAGCAGCACAUCUCCCAGCAAGUGAUGGGCUUGAAUGCCUGCAAGGGAGGGCUGGAGGGUUUCUGUGCAAACAAAACCCAUUUCUAACCUUGGCAGCUGCAGCAAAGAGCUCCUGGUUGUCACUCCGCACUCAGGGAGCCACACAAGAGGUGGUGUACCUUCUCCCUUUGAAGUACGUGGGCACUUUCCUUGGCAGCCAGCAGCCUCAGAGCCGGCCGUGAGACCCACUGGGAAUUAUGCUCCCACUCGUGAGCAAGAGCCACCUAUUUCAGGCAGAGAACACUUCAUCCUCCUGAAUCGAACCACCUGCAGGAGGAACCCAAGCUCUUGGUCUCACAGGAUUUGGCCAUAAAACACCAGGAACACCUGCGUUCUUCACCCCAUUCUGUGGCAGAGUCCGGGAAUCUCCUCCAGCUCCCAAUCAUGGCUUUGGUGUUGGUUCUCGCCUUGUUGGUGAGGGUGCUAAUUGUCAGUGGCAGUGACCAUGCGGUCAUGCUUGAGCGCGUGCAGCAGCACGAGAAAGAGCAGAGGAACGGGGAGCAGAGCUGGGUGGACAUGUCGGCUCUGCUCUUUACUCUGCUGCAUUACUGGAAGA